rnacentral:rRNA from 1 species
UACGUAGGGUGCGAGCGUUAAUCGGAAUUACUGGGCGUAAAGCGUGCGCAGGUGGUUCGCUAAGACAGAUGUGAAAUCCCCGGGCUCAACCUGGGAACUGCGUUUGUGACUGGCGGGCUAGAGCGCGGAAGAGGGAGGUGGAAUUCCACGUGUAGCAGUGAAAUGCGUAGAGAUGUGGAGGAACACCGAUGGCGAAGGCAGGCUCCUGGUCUAGCACUGACGCUCAUGCACGAAAGCGUGGGGAGCAAACAGG